CACGGUCAGGCUCUCUAGGAAGUGUUUGGGUAAAGCACCUAGUCUUGGUGCUUGGAAAUGGUUUAAUCUGAUAAUGCCAGAUCAAGAUGCAAGCGGGUCUUGAUCGGGACCACAGAGGUUGUUUUCUCCUCCUGAAAUGAGGCACAGAGCUGAAUUAUUGCGCCCAAGUUGGUCACUUCCACGUCUUUUAUUUCCCCUUAUUCCGGCAAAUCGAUAUCCCCAGGGGCCAGCCUUGUUGCACUGAGCACGAACCCUUUUCAUGCACUGUUCAAGUACCUCCACCCUUGCAAGGCCCGGCUAAUGAUCCAAGCAACAUCUGAUAUUCGCCGACGACACUUGACUCCAUUCCAACAUCACACUGUAG
rnacentral:sRNA from 2 species